UACGGAGGAUGCAAGCGUUAUCCGGAAUGAUUGGGCGUAAAGCGUCCGCAGGUGGCUGUGUAAGUCUGCUGUUAAAGAGCGAAGCUCAACUUCGUAAAGGCAGUGGAAACUACACGGCUAGAGUGCGUUCGGGGCAGAGGGAAUUCCUGGUGUAGCGGUGAAAUGCGUAGAGAUCAGGAAGAACACCGGUGGCGAAGGCGCUCUGCUAGGCCGCAACUGACACUGAGGGACGAAAGCUAGGGGAGCGAAUGGG
rnacentral:rRNA from 1 species